AGUGUGUUUUAUGGACCAUGUGCUGCUAUGUAUGCCUGAAGAAGUACUUGAAAUGCAAAUUUGGGGAGACUUUGCCAUAUAAAUGCUUGGCUGGAUUAAGCGCCUAAUUAGGAUGGUUUUUCAACAAGUUGGAGUAAGCAUGCAAUCGAAUAGUAUGAAAACCUGAUGAAAAUAAAAUUUUUACUGUACUUUGGUCUAGGAAGCCAUAUGGUUCGUCUCGAAGUAUCGUAAGGAAAAUUGGUACUAAUUUGUCUCUGAUUCAGUGUCCAAGAGUUCAGUUUCAGAUUAACAGCCAUGCAACAGAAUGGAGUCCCAGCCACCCAGGAGAGGAUGCAGUGGCGUCUUUUGCUGAUGUUGGAUGGGUAGCCAAAGAAGAAGGAGAGUGUUCAGCAAGACUAAGGACAGAGGUCAGAUCAAGGCCACCCCUUCAGGAUGACCUUCUUUUCUUUGAGAAGGCCCCAAGCAGACAGAUUUCCUUACCAGACUUAUCUCAAGAAGAGCCUCAGCUGAAGACCCCAGCGCUGGCAAAGGAGGAAGCACUGCAGAAGAUUUGCGCUCUCGAAAAUGAACUUGCUGCUCUCAGAGCUCAGAUUGCCAAAAUUGUGACCCAGCAGGAGCAGCAAAAUCUCACUGCAGGUGACUUAGAUUCUACCACAUUUGGUACCAUACCACCACACCCUCCACCUCCCCCACCGCCCCCGCCUCCCCCUCCACUGGGGCUCCACCAAAGUAUAUCUGCUGUUGAUCUGAUUAAAGAACGAAGAGAGAAAAGAGCCAAUGCUGGAAAGACUUUGGUUAAGAACAAUCCAAAGAAACCUGAAAUGCCAAAUAUGCUAGAGAUCCUUAAAGAGAUGAACAGUGUAAAACUUCGGUCAGUGAAGAGGUCAGAGCAAGAUGUGAAGCCCAAGCCAGUGGAUGCUACUGACCCUGCUGCCCUCAUAGCAGAGGCUCUGAAAAAGAAAUUUGCUUAUCGGUAUCGAAGUGAUAGCCAAGAUGAAGUUGAAAAAGGAAUUCCAA
rnacentral:sRNA from 1 species